CCUAAGUUUGUGACUUUUGAUAAAACAUUAAGUGCUAUUUUUGUGACUUUUGAGUUUGAGUGGUAGUUUGGGAACAUAAACUUGAUUUAGUGCUAUUUUUGUUUUUUUCUCUAAUAAUAAUCCAGUUUCUACUUUUCUCUAAGAUUAUCCACCUCGGCAUUAGGUGGAUCCCGCAUUUGAUUUUUUUUCUAAUUUGUUUGAUAUUUAAAUUAUGUCGUUUGGUUUUAUUGGUUUGGGCAUAAAGGAUGUUUUGUUAUCUAAUUAUACUCUGCGUCUUUGUCUUUCACUUAGUUAGGGUUUUGUUUGUUUUCGUUAUUCGCCUCUUCUUCUACCUCGUCGUCUCCCUCAACUGUGUCUGCAAACACAAUUUUUUCUUUCAACUCUUCACCUCCCUUAACACCCAACGACAUUCAACGUAUCAUUUAUUUGAUUACCUUUUCACUAAUAUUUAUUUAUUUGAGUCCCUCUUCACCUCCCUAAAUUCCCCCGAUUAAUGUGAUUCUCAUUAAAUCCAAUUAAAUUCUCGACCUCUCUGUUUUUUUUUCUUUUAUCUAUAAAUUGGAGAGAUUGUGAGUGCGAUGAAUCUACACAAUCACUCUCAAUUACUCAGAUUCUUCGAAAAUGUCUUACCCCGAUGUUGUUGUUGCGCAAUCCGCCUUCGAUGUUCUCCGACUCGGAAGAUCUCCCCAGUUCAUUGUUGCUCGCCUGCUUCGGUUUUGGGACUCCAAAAACAUCAAGAAGCAUGGUGAAUUCAUGGGAACAGGGACAAAGAGAUAGCUGAUUUUUUAUUUAUCACUUUCCCUGUAAGAAGGGUGCAUAGGCUGUUGAAGACAAGGUCCACUGCUCACGGAAGGGUCGGAGCAACUGCAGCUGUCUACACCGCAGUGAUACUGGAGUAUCUGACCGCAGAAGUUUUGGAGUUGGCUGGUAACGCCAGCAAGGACCUCAAGGUGAAACGCGUCUCCCCCAAGCACUUGCAGCUUGCGAUUCAUGGAGAUGAAGAGCUCGAUAAUCUCAUCAAAGGAACUAUAGCUGGUUGUGGUGUCAUCCCUCACAUCCACAAGUCUCUCAUCAACAAAUCCGCCAAGGAAUAGAUUUACUACCACUUUGGGAGAGAGUCGUGUGUUUGAUAAAGAAGACGCUAGAGAACUGUUUGUUUAGGAUCUCCGUUUGUUAUUGUUCUACUUCUACCAUCAGCGUACUUGUCUAUUGCAUACGUAUUUGAUGAUUACCUAAACCCUUUUCUGACUACACUACCUUUUGGUUUGUUCCUAUCAAUGUAACAUAUAAUCCCCGGAGAAGCUUGUGAGAAAUUAAUGGGUAUUUACGUUAUACAUAACAA